rnacentral:tRNA from 1 species
AGACGUGUGGGAUUCGGUUGCUCAAAAAGCAAUGGAACCACAGGAUGUGCACGUCUUUGAGGGCAGUUCUAUGUGGUGUAGUGGUUACACGCAAAGCUUCUAACUUUGAUACCUGGGUUCAAUUCCCAGCUUGGAAACAAGACGCAAAGUCGCAUCCACGAUGAUUGUGAAAAUGGCUUAAUCCCCGACCGGCUUCGGCUGGAAUCGGGGUCCGAAGGAAUUCGCAAGGUUCCUGAGGAUUGAUGGGAAGCUGCACGGUUGGGUGAUCACCCACUUGCGGCCCGGCAGGGUCGACGGUAAGCGGAACGUUGAGUAGCGAUCGUCGAAUGGGUCUAUAGCCGGACCCUUAAACUAAACGGCAGCCAUGUAGAAAUACACCAUGCGGGGCCCACAGACCCCGGUGGCGUGGAAUGAGUCGGGAAGGCGGGUCGUGCAGAUCCGCGAUAAUCCGGCACAAGAUU